rnacentral:rRNA from 1 species
AUAUUGGUCAAUGGACGCAAGUCUGAACCAGCCAUGCCGCGUGGAGGAUGACAGCCCUCUGGGUCGUAAACUGCUUUUAUUCGGGAAUAAACCUUUCUACGUGUAGAGAGCUGAAUGUACCGAAGGAAUAAGGAUCGGCUAACUCCGUGCCAGCAGCCGCGGUAAUACGGAGGAUCCAAGCGUUAUCCGGAUUUAUUGGGUUUAAAGGGUGCGUAGGCGGCUUAUUAAGUCAGGGGUGAAAGACGGUGGCUCAACCAUCGCAGUGCCCUUGAUACUGAUGAGCUUGAAUGAACUAGAGGUAGGCGGAAUGUGACAAGUAGCGGUGAAAUGCAUAGAUAUGUCACAGAACACCGAUUGCGAAGGCAGCUUACUAUGGUUUUAUUGACGCUGAGGCACGAAAGCGUGGGGAUCAAACAGG